CCCCUUCCUUUUCAUCUCUCACCUUGCACUUUCAGAGAGUUGUCUCAUUAAAUCGACAUCGUCGGUCACCCACCAGAAAUCGCCUACGGCGGCAACCGGCCACCAAUCUGCCCAAAAAUUACAUCUUAGAACCACCUCAUUUCCCUUAUCUCAAAUCCCCACUCUGUUUGCUUCAAAUCCACCUAGAAAUUCGCGAAUAUAGAUCAAAGACUCAAACUCUAAAUUUCCAAAAACUUAAAUCAGUGGCCCUUUUUGAAGAUUUAAAGCCAGAAUUGGUUUAAUUCAUGUGUUUUCAUUUGGAACACAUGAUUGAAACCCAUUUUGGUCAAACUCGGAAAGCACCGAAAGUUUGUUCAAGACCUUGGUCCGUACACUUCUUGUUUAGCUACUUCAAUCCUCUUUUCGACUUCUUUUUGUUUGGUUCCCAAUAUUUUUCUCUUCUUGCUCCGUCUCAUUUGUUUUCUUUGUUAUAUUUUAUUUAUUUUCUUUUUUUAAUCAGUUAUGCUCGCAUGAUUAAAAUUAAAGUUUGGUAGUUCAUGUUUUAAUAUUUUUGUUCUUUUGUAUUAUUUUAUUUCUGUUAGUUUUCAGAGAUAGGAACUCUGAAUUUUUUCUUGGAAAAUUCCUCCUGAGCCAUUAAUUUCAUGAUUUCUGAUUGAAAUUGGGCUUUGAAAUCAGAAACCCAAGAAAGAGAUUCAAUACGGGUUUUUGCAAAGCCUAGGUUUAAGGUUAGACCUUGGGUCAACAUAUCUAUUUUUGUUUCUCUAGUAAAUAGCAAGGGAUUAAAGGGUAUUUUUGGUAGUUUAGCUUAGGGAAUGUUCCAUAACUAACUAAAACACUGCCAGGAAAGUGAGGGAACGGAUUGAUUUGCGAAACUGAUUUUAAAUUGGGGUUUGAAUUGAAUAAAAGAAAUUUGGGGAAGAGGUAAAUGGAAAGUUUGGAAACUAACUACUCGUGCCACAAAGUACCUCUUUAAAGGUCCUAUUUCAUAAAAUUUUCAAGAGGGAGGAUAAGAGAUUAGAAGUUAGAAACGGCUGAAAAUACUACCCAAUGAAAAGGUCUGAAGAAUAAAAAAACCACAAAACACUACUACAUUAAAGAUUUGUGUGUAAUUCUUUGGGUUUUCAAAGCUUGAAGUAAUUGUGCAUGCGUUCUGGACUCGGAAUGGUUUAAAGAAAUUGAAUUUACUAUUUUUGAUUUGUUGAAGUGCAUCUGCUUCUGCUGUUGAUCUUCCUAUUUUUUAUUUUUCUAUUAAUGCACCAGGUACUCUUUUGAACUUUGACUGGUAAUGAAGCCUGAUGGAGCUUUUCUGUAAGUAUCUUUAAACCAAGCUGAAGUUAAAUGACAAACAUCAGUCUCAGUUGUUAUUACUGCUUGCCUCUAUCAUGUUUUAUUCAUGUUUUUCUAGUCUAGCUUAUUUUGUAUACUUCAUUCCAUGAUGUUGCAUUUGGUUUUAAGUGUUGGAUUUGGACUUUGUUUGAAUAUAGUUUAUUCAAGAGUGUUCUUAGAUUUACGGUAAUAUGUGUUAAUUGAGGACUGUGACUCUUAGUCUAAUUAGUGUAACAUGUGUUAGUCUAAUGAUUUCAGAGUUGUCGCUUAGUUUUGCUUAUGCUCGUUUAUGAGCAUCUUGCAUUUUAAAAUGACUUUCAAAUGAGACUUGAGUAAGAGAUUUCUGUUGAAUGCAUGUUAUCAGACAUACACAUAUGUUUUGAGGUCUUCUCAGGUAUUCUGAUGAAAACUAACGUAAGAGUUGGUUGUGUUUGAUAGUUACACUAAUUGUACGAAUGAUAACGAUGCUCCAGGGAAGAUUCAUUUAGUGUUUUAAUUUCAUUAAUGAUUAGUAAUGGUUCUAUUGUUGUUUAAGCAUGAAAUGUUCUAUAUUGGCAUUAUAGUAAAGUCGCUUAUUGGGUUUUUGUUGAUAUAAAUCUCAU
rnacentral:lncRNA from 1 species